rnacentral:misc_RNA from 1 species
UUAACUAUUAUAUAGUACUCAGACAUCACUAAACAAACGAGUUUGGGUCCUCUGGCAGGCGCGGUCAGCGUCAGCCGACGCCCGAAGGCGGCCUGCCAGAGCAACAAAGGUAUGUAUACACGGUUUGGGAAUAGAACCCAUUUCGAAAAACGGGGCAUUCUUUAAUGAUCCUUCCGCAGGUUCACCUACGGAAA